rnacentral:lncRNA from 1 species
CACAGGCUUCAUUUAGGGUGGGACAGGAGGGUAGUUCCUAAGGUUCAUUGUACUGGGGUGAGCUGAUCCAUUAGCACCAACUGGAGAGUGGACCGUGACUUUCCUGAGGCUUAUUGUUUUGGGGCCACCUGGCCCAUGGGGAGUGGGGCCGGUGCCAGGCAGGCCCAAGUUCCUUGGUGCUCCUUCCUUCUGGCUGAGGCCUGGGGUUUUAAAUGACAAAAGCUUCAGUUUUAGCCCAGGGCAGGUGGGGUAACAGCCGCAGGAAAGGGAGGUGUUCUUGGGACUUAAUUCUCCAUAUCUUUCAGAUGAUACUUGUAUUUUUGUAGUGCUGGCACUGCCUAUAAUCCCCACAGUGCGGGAGGCUGAGGCAGGAGGAUUGGAGUUCAAAACCAGCCUCAGCAAUUUAGCGAGGUUCUAAGCAACUCAGUGAGACUCUGUCUCACCAUGAAAUACAAAACAGUGAGAAACUGAUGUGACUCCAUUUUUGAGAAACCAGCCUCUACCUCAGAGCAAAGCCUGUCCAAGGAAGAGCGCAUGACCCUUGUUCUUGGAAAGACCCACAGAGCACUCCUAGGCACAUACCCACCCUGCUAAGUUGUUUAUCUACAAAUAACAGGAGAGAUCUGCUGCACCAGGUGCCCCUGACUCAGUCAGGCUGGGUGGGGACCCAUAGCAACCCCCUAGCAACCACCAAUCAGCAUGAGACAGGGAAAUACCUGGGAUGUCAGAUAACCCUCCCAGUAGUUUAUGGUGGUUGAUAACAUGUUGGGAAACCACGUAGUUCAGCACGUACUCACCUCGUGGCUUAAACCAAUCAGUUCAAACGAAUCCCCCUCUUGCACUGACCAAUCACCCCUACCCAACUUGUUCCCGCCAGUGAAUGUGCUAAUCAUGUUUUAGAGUUGUUAUUUUAUUUUCCCACAGUGUGUGAUGAUUUGCUAAGAGAUGCUAUGAUGUAAAUGAGGUCCCUGCCUUCCCCCAAAGAAUGUAUAAAACUGCUGCAAACCCUGGGCUCGGGCCUCUCAGCAUCACCAGUUGCUAUGUGUGCGUGUGGAGGACCGAGCUAGCUCGCAAUAAAC